ACUCCUACGGGAGGGCAGCAGUGGGGAAUCUUGGACAAUGGGGGCGAAACCCUGAUCCAGCCAUGCCGCGUGAGUGAUGAAGGCCUUAGGGUCGUAAAGCUCUUUCGCCUGUGAUGAUAAUGACAGUAGCAGGUAAAGAAACCCCGGCUAACUCCGUGCCAGCAGCCGCGGUAAUACGGAGGGGUUAGCGUUGUUCGGAAUUACUGGGGCGUAAAGCGCGCGUAGGCGGAUUAGUCAGUUAGAGGUGAAAUCCCAGGGCUCAACCCUGGAACUGCCUUUAAUACUGCUAGUCUUGAGUUCGAGAGAGGUGAGUGGAAUUCCGAGUGUAGAGGUGAAAUUCGUAGAUAUUCGGAGGAACACCAGUGGCGAAGGCGGCUCACUGGCUCGAUACUGACGCUGAGGUGCGAAAGUGUGGGGAGCAAACAGGAUUAGAUACCCUGGUAGGAUAGCG
rnacentral:rRNA from 1 species